rnacentral:rRNA from 1 species
CUCAACCAGGGGUUUGCGAGGAAAACCGGUGGAAUAGAGGAGGUGAGAGGCCGACGGAACUCGCGGUGUAGGGGUGAAAUCCGUUGAUAUCGCGAGGAACACCAAAGGCGAAGGCAGUCGGCUGGCGCCUUCCUGACACUGAAGAACGAAAGCGUGGGGAGCGAAGCGGAUUAGAUACCCGCGUAGUCCACGCUGUAAACGAUGGGCACUAGCUAUUGGAAGUGUCGACCCUUCCAGUGGCGAAGCUAACGCGUUAAGUGCCCCGCCUGGGAAGUACGACCGCAAGGUUAAAACUCAAAGGAAUAGACGGGAGGCCGCACAAGCGGUGGAGCAUCUGGUUUAAUUCGACGAUAAGCGAGGAACCUUACCAGGGCUAGACACUCCGAUGCAAUCCCGAUGAAAGUCGGGCCCUCCUUUUGGACAUC